GGGCACUUAGCUCAGUGGUUAGAGCACCCUCCUAGAGUUUGGGGAAAACAGAUUACAGGUUUGAGUCCUGUAGUGCACA
rnacentral:tRNA from 1 species